rnacentral:sRNA from 1 species
GCUGCUACCGAACCCGAAAAGGACCGGAUCGUCUUGCCACCGAACUUUAAUCGUUCUGAUCGUGAACGUAUGCUUCACUGUGACACUACCAUCACCGGGCUCCCCACAGCAAUUUUCUUCGGUAGUGGAUAUGGUCCACGUGAACAUUACGCAAAAUACUCGGCCGCCAAGGAUUUCUUUGAUAAAUGUCUUAAAAUUCGAGUUAUGGAUGAUGAAUUACACGCGGCGAUUGGUGAAUGGCCGAGAUUGGAUAGAACUUUUAAAACUCAGUUUAAAGUUAACAUUUCGAAGUCUGUGAACGCUGUGAUUCUGUUGAUAAAGCGAAUGGCAAAUG